rnacentral:rRNA from 1 species
GACGAACGCUGGCGGCGUGCUUAACACAUGCAAGUCGAACGGAAAGGCCCUGCUUGCAGGGUACUCGAGUGGCGAACGGGUGAGUAACACGUGGGUGAUCUGCCCUGCACUUCGGGAUAAGCCUGGGAAACUGGGGCUAAUACCGGAUAGGAGCCAUUUUGAGUGUGAUGGUUGGAAAGUUUUUUCGGUGUAGGAUGAGCUCGCGGCCUAUCAGGUUGUUGGUGGGGUAAUGGCCUACCAAGGCGGCGACGGGUAGCCGGCCUGAGAGGGUGGACGGCCACAUUGGAACUGAGAUACGGCCCAGACUCCUACGGGAGGCAGCAGUGGGGAAUAUUGCACAAUGGGCGCAAGCCUGAUGCAGCGACGCCGCGUGGGGGAUGACGGCCUUCGGGUUGGAAACUCCUUUCGCUAGGGACGAAGCUUUUUGUGACGGUACCUAGAUAAGAAGCACCGGCUAACUACGUG